GGGCUCGCAGGCGGUUUCUUAAGUCUGAUGUGAAAGCCCCCGGCUCAACCGGGGAGGGUCAUUGGAAACUGGGGAACUUGAGUGCAGAAGAGGAGAGUGGAAUUCCACGUGUAGCGGUGAAAUGCGUAGAGAUGUGGAGGAACACCAGUGGCGAAGGCGACUCUCUGGUCUGUAACUGACGCUGAGGAGCGAAAGCGUGGGGAGCGAACAGGAUUAGAUACCCUGGUAGUCCACGCCGUAAACGAUGAGUGCUAAGUGUUAGGGGGUUUCCGCCCCUUAGUGCUGCAGCUAACGCAUUAAGCACUCCGCCUGGGGAGUACGGUCGCAAGACUGAAACUCAAAGGAAUUGACGGGGGCCCGCACAAGCGGUGGAGCAUGUGGUUUAAUUCGAAGCAACGCGAAGAACCUUACCAGGUCUUGACAUCCUCUGACAAUCCUAGAGAUAGGACGUCCCCUUCGGGGGCAGAGUGACAGGUGGUGCAUGGUUGUCGUCAGCUCGUGUCGUGAGAUGUUGGGUUAAGUCCCGCAACGAGCGCAACCCUUGAUCUUAAUUGCCAGCAUUC
rnacentral:rRNA from 1 species